rnacentral:lncRNA from 7 species
AUGCAUUUUCUUCCCGAAAAUACCGCCUUUGACUCGAAAAUCAUGCAUUUUCUUCCCGAAAAUACCACCUUUGACUCGAAAAUCACGCAGUUUCCUUCGGAAAAUACGACUUUUCUAACGAAAACCAUGCAUUGUCUCUCCGAAAAUACAAGUUUCCGCCCGAAAAUCACGCAUUUCCCCCCGAAAAAAGCACCUCUGUCCAAACAUCACGCAUUUUCUACUCGAAAUACAUCUUUGCUGGAAAAGAAUACAUUUCUCCCCAAGUAUACCACCUUGCACCCCAAAUCACGCAUUUCUCUCGAGAAAUGCCACUUUUCUUUCGAAAAUCACGCAUUUUCGCCCCGAAAAUACCACCCGUCUCCCAGAAAUUCUGCACUUCCUUCCCGAAAAUACCACUUUUCGCUGCGAAAUAACACAUUUCUACCCCAAAUAUACCACGCUUCACUCACAAAGCACGCAUUUUCACCCCAAAGUGCCACCUUUCAGCCGAAAAUUACGCUUUUUCCUCCAGAAAAUACCACUUCUCAAACAGAAGUCACGCGUUUUCUCCAAGAAAAUACCACCAUUCACCCCCAAAUCACGCGUUUUCUCUCCAAAAACACCACUUUUCUCACAAAAUCACGCAUUUUCUUCCCGAAAAUACCACCUUUCACACGAAAAUCACGCAUUUUUGCGCGAAACAACCCCAUUUCACCUCAAAAUCAGGCUUUUUCUUCUGGAAAAUAACACUUUUCUAACGAAGACCAUGCACUGUCACUCCGAAAAUACAACUUUUUGCCCCGAAAAUCACGCAUUUUCCCUUCGAAAUACCCCACGUCGCCAGAAAAUAAUGCAUUUCCUUACGAAAAUGCCCCUUUUCACCCGAAAAUCACGCAUUUGCCCCCGAAAAAACGCACCUCUGUCCAAACAUCACGCAUUUUCUACCCGAAAAUGCCACUUUUUGCUGGAAAAGAACACGUCUACCCCAAAUAUACCACCUUUCACCCCAAAAUCACGCAUUUUCUCGCGAGAAAUACCACUUUCUUUCGAAAAUCACGCGUUUCACCCCGAAAAUACCACCUGCCACGCGAAAAAUCCUGCACUUCCUUCCCGAAAACACCACUUGUCCUGGGAAAUAGCGCAUUUCUACCCAAAAAAGACCACGUUUCCCCCGAAAAUCAUGCAUUUUCUUCCGAAAUACCCCUUUGACUCGAAAAUCACGCAUUCCUU